GCUCAACGGGAGGAAGUGCUUCGAAAACUGGUAAACUUGAGUGCAGAAGAGGAAAGUGGAACUCCAUGUGUAGCGGUGGAAUGCGUAGAUAUAUGGAAGAACACCAGUGGCGAAGGCGGCUUUCUGGUCUGUAACUGACGCUGAGAUUCGAAAGCAUGGGUAGCAAACAGGAUUAGAUACCCUGGUAGUCCAUGCCGUAAACGAUGAGUGCUAAGUGUUGGAGGGUUUCCGCCCUUCAGUGCUGCAGCUAACGCAUUAAGCACUCCGCCUGGGGAGUACGACCGCAAGGUUGAAACUCAAAGGAAUUGACGGGGGCCCGCACAAGCGGUGGAGCAUGUGGUUUAAUUCGAAGCAACGCGAAGAACCUUACCAGGUCUUGACAUACCAUGAAAAGCUUAGAGAUAAGUCUUUCCCUUCGGGGACAUGGAUACAGGUGGUGCAUGGUUGUCGUCAGCUCGUGUCGUGAGAUGUUGGGUUAAGUCCCGCAACGAGCGCAACCCUUAUUAUCAGUUGCCAGCAUUCAGUUGGGCACUCUGGUGAGACUGCCGGUGACAAACCGGAGGAAGGUGGGGACGACGUCAAAUCAUCAUGCCCCUUAUGACCUGGGCUACACACGUGCUACAAUGGUCGGUACAACG
rnacentral:rRNA from 1 species